rnacentral:rRNA from 1 species
GGGUCAGUAGGUUGGUCGUGCCACCGGUACGUACUGGUCUCACUGAUUCCUCCUUCCUGAGGAACCGUAAUGCCAUUAAUUUGGUGUUGCGGGGAAACAGGACUGUUACUUUGAAAAAAUUAGAGUGUUUAAAGCAAGCUAACGCUUGAAUACGUUAGCAUGGAAUAAUGAAAUAGGACGAUCGAUCCUAUUUUGUUGGUUUCUAGGAUUGACGUA